GCUCAACCGAAGAAGUGCAUCGGAAACUGGAAAACUUGAGUGCAGAAGAGGACAGUGGAACUCCAUGUGUAGCGGUGAAAUGCGUAGAUAUAUGGAAGAACACCAGUGGCGAAGGCGGCUGUCUGGUCUGUAACUGACGCUGAGGCUCGAAAGUAUGGGUAGCAAACAGGAUUAGAUACCCUGGUAGUCCAUACCGUAAACGAUGAAUGCUAAGUGUUGGAGGGUUUCCGCCCUUCAGUGCUGCAGCUAACGCAUUAAGCAUUCCGCCUGGGGAGUACGGCCGCAAGGCUGAAACUCAAAGGAAUUGACGGGGGCCCGCACAAGCGGUGGAGCAUGUGGUUUAAUUCGAAGCUACGCGAAGAACCUUACCAGGUCUUGACAUACUAUGCAAAUCUAAGAGAUUAGACGUUCCCUUCGGGGACAUGGAUACAGGUGGUGCAUGGUUGUCGUCAGCUCGUGUCGUGAGAUGUUGGGUUAAGUCCCGCAACGAGCGCAACCCUUAUUAUCAGUUGCCAGCAUUAAGUUGGGCACUCUGGUGAGACUGCCGGUGACAAACCGGAGGAAGGUGGGGAUGACGUCAAAUCAUCAUGCCCCUUAUGACCUGCGCUACACACGUGCUACAAUGGAUGGUACAACG
rnacentral:rRNA from 1 species